rnacentral:rRNA from 1 species
CUACGGGUGGCAGCAGUGGGGGAUAUUGCACAAUGGGCGAAAGCCUGAUGCAGCAACGCCGCGUGAAGGAAGACGGUUUUCGGAUUGUAAACUUCUAUCAGCAGGGAAGAAAAUGACUGUACCUGACUAAGAAGCCCCGGCUAACUACGUGCCAGCAGCCGCGGUAAUACGUAGGGGGCAAGCGUUAUCCGGAAUUACUGGGUGUAAAGAGUACGUAGGCGGCUGAUCAAGUCAGAUGUGAAAGCCCGGAGCUCAACUCCGGGACUGCAUUUGAAACUGGUCGGCUAGAGUGCAGGAGAGGAGAGUGGAAUUCCUAGUGUAGCGGUGAAAUGCGUAGAUAUUAGGAAGAACACCAGUGGCGAAGGCGGCUUUCUGGACUGUAACUGACGCUGAGGUACGAAAGCGUGGGGAGCGAACAGGAUUAGAUACCCUCGUAGUC